rfam:Rattus norvegicus chromosome 19, whole genome shotgun sequence.
GGUGAUUUAGCUCAGUGGUAGAGCGCUUGCCUAGCAAGCGCAAGGCCCUGGGUUCGGUCCCCAGCUCCA